CCGUGUUAGUUUGGACGCCCGUUCACUAGGUGGUACCUUAACACUGAGAAGUGACCGGGUUAGGUUGGAAUCGUCAUGUUCUCCAACACUUUCGAAGAGUGUAAGCAGAUGUUCCACAUUUCUUGAAUAGCACAAGCUGGAUCAAGCUCAGUAUUAACAGGAAGGUCGCAGCCUUUCUGAACUCAAGCAUCAUGGAGAACGCAAGAGUUUGCCACAUGGCAGCUAAACACCGUGUUACCUCACAGAUGAAGAUGCUCCCGGAGCUUAUCUGUUUCACACUCUUUGGCAUCUUUAGAGGAAAUCUCUACAUGGAAAUAUUUUCCAAUACACUUCGUCAAAGGACUUGAGCAGCAGCUGGAAGUCUGAGCAGACAGACUCACUGCAAAAUUUUCCCCCCACAGUGUUCUUGGGGAGGUUCGCCACGAUAAAAAUCUGGCACGAGAACGAGUCACACAAUGAGGAAUGGAAAAUAUGGUCUCUCGCCACAGUGCGCCGAGCCAGAAAGGCUUUAACUAUGAUAACAACAAAAGUGUGUAUCUGUCAGGGAAACCAAACGGUUCAUUUUCUGGAAUUAAUUCUGGUGCAGCCAAAAAGUAAACUUGAAACUUUUUUUCAUGCAGUUUUUUCUUAAAGGUCUUGAUAAUCAAGUAAAUAAUGCAACUCUACAAACACAUCUGUGACUUGACCUGAAGACAUGCAUUUGUGUUUCACAUUAAAGACAACAAAUUAUAAUUUGAUUGUGGUUUGAAAAUGAAUAAUAAAGCAAAUUUGCAUGUACACUUGUCACCUCUUUUUCCCCUGGGCUUGUAUUUGUGCCAGAGAGAGCACAACAUUUAGAAAAAAGAAGCUACAUCCUUAUACUGUUACUCCCAAAUUCUUGAUGUGGAGUAAAACUCCUUACAGUCUGGAAAAAACUGGAAGUUUGCAGCUGCCAGGAGCGUCUCUGUAUCAGGAUC